rnacentral:misc_RNA from 1 species
UUUUUUUUCUCGAGUUCCUUUAAAAGGACUGAAUGACUCAUGUAUUACAAAGAAAGAAAUUGUUUCUUUUAAGAUAAAAACAAAAUAAUAGUUAUGUGUUCUUUGUGUUUGCUUUACCUUAAUUCUCUGAGUUGCAAAGUGCUUUUGUGAAAUUUUUUUUUUUGCAAAAUUUGCAGAUAAUACGUUUAGGAACUUUUCAGGUACUACUUGUGGCCUGUAAAAAUUCAUGUCUAGCAGCUAACAAAUGUCAAAAUUAUAGAGUUUUAUAAAUUUUGAAGGAAAACAAGGAAAAUUUGGGGGGGGGGGGUGUUUUUCGGAUAGUGUGCAUUUCUGAUUAUUAUGAAUUCCUUAUAAUUCUAAUUUUUUCAUUUACCAAGUAGUACUUUUAUACAAAUAUAUAAAACAUUAAUUGCACGUUUAUUGUGCACAUAUUUCAUGUUUGGAGUGACAACUUCAGUUGGUUACCUCCAUAAUGUUGUAUCACUAUGUGAACAACUGUGUCCCUAUGGCAUUUAUACUAACAUCAACUACUGUGAACAACUUGUUUCCCUGAGUAAGUAGACUGAUGGCACUGAUAUAUUAUUAUUUUGUAAACGUAAAGAAUGCUUUAUUCUUGUACAUGUGCAAUGUAAUGGUAUUGUACCCACUUGAAUUAUCAAUUGCUUCACUUAUAAAGACGUAUACAUAACAGUUGUCAAGACUUUUUAACUCGGAUCUUAAUUCAGAACAGACUCAGUACAUAUGUACUCUCUACAAACUUGGAACUCGUAUCUGUGUGUGCACUGUGUCUUCUGAUCAUGGUAUUGUUGUAGCCACAUGGUCAUAUGCAAUGUUCUCAAUAAAAAAUUAUGAAC